UGAAAGACACAGGUAGUGGGAC
rnacentral:miRNA from 1 species